rnacentral:ncRNA from 1 species
GUCCCGCGCAUAUCCGGGUUAUGAUAUGCACCUCCCUGUUGGACUGGCCGGGCUUAGUCGCCCGGCCUUUUUU